rnacentral:rRNA from 1 species
CCUACGGGUGGCAGCAGUGAGGAAUAUUGGUCAAUGGGCGCGAGCCUGAACCAGCCAAGUAGCGUGAAGGACGAAGGUGCCAAGCAUUGUAAACUUCUUUUGUCAAGGGACAAAAUCAUGCUCGAGAGCCUGACCGAGGGUACUUGAAGAAAAAGCAUCGGCUCACUCCGUGCCAGCAGCCGCGGUACUACGGAGGAUGCGAACGUUAUCCGGAUUUAUUGGGUUUAAAGGGUGCGUAGGCGGACUGUUAAGUCAGCGGUAAAAGCCCGGGGCUAAACCCCGGCGAGCCGUUGAAACUGGCUGUCGUGAGAUGUCGAGAGGUAUGCGGAAUGCGCAGUGUAGCGGUGAAAUGCUUAGAUAUUGCGCAGAACUCCGAUUGCGAAGGCAGCAUACCGGCGGCGAUCUGACGCUGAGGCACGAAAGCGUGGGUAUCGAACAGGAUUAGAUACCCUGGUAGUC